AUGCCAGUUCAAUGUAUCUGCUCAAUUUGAAAAUGUUUUGCAGAGCACAUUUUGAAAUGACACUGGUAAAGUAAAGCCACCGUACGAGCCUUGAAGACUUUGUUGUCUUUGAGGUCCCAAGAGAUGGCUACAUCU
rfam:Patagioenas fasciata monilis isolate BTP2013 Sc31e1R_1, whole genome shotgun sequence.